GUGCCAGCCGCCGCGGUAAUACAGAGGGUGCAAGCGUUGUCCGGAAUCACUGGGCGUAAAGGGCGCGUAGGCGGUCCAUCAAGUCAGGGGUGAAAGGCCUGGGCUCAACCUGGGAACUGCCCUUGAAACUGGUGGACUCGAGUCCGGGAGAGGGUAGCGGAAUUCCCAGUGUAGAGGUGAAAUUCGUAGAUAUUGGGAAGAACACCAGUGGCGAAGGCGGCUACCUGGACCGGGACUGACGCUGAGGCGCGAAAGCGUGGGGAGCAAACAGGAUUAGAUACCCUAGUAGUCC
rnacentral:rRNA from 1 species